UACGUCCAUAUAGCGUUGAAACACCGGUUCCCGUUUAAUCACCGGUUAAGCAACGUCGUGCCUGGUCAGUACUUAGAUAGGUGACUGCUUGGCAAUACCAGGCGUGGUA